CGAAGGAAAAUGAUAUAGGGAAAAUCAUUAUUGGUUACCAUGAUGACGCAUGUUAUGCUGUUGUAUUAAAUAUAUGGAAUGAACUUAAAUGCCAAGAUGAAGAUGAACAUAAGCAAAAGGUCAUUAUUGAAGCAAAGCAAAUUCUUUUAUGGUGCGCCACACCAGAUGCUAUUGUGCGAUUGUGUUACAAAAAUGCGACUGACGAAGGAUUCAUACAAGAUACGUACUGGAAAGAGCAGGCUCAUGAAAGUAUAUCGCAGUACCUAAAGUUUCAAAUUUGUACAAGGAAAGGAAAACGCCUGCUAGCACAAGUUACAACUCGAGCAAGGCUUUUGACAUCUGUGCACCGUGAAGCGCUAAGUGAAGCAUGUGAAAUUCCAGAAAGCCAAAUUUACAUUUUGGAAUCAUUGACUACGUUUGAUACCGAGCAGCAGUUCAUUUCGAA